rnacentral:rRNA from 1 species
UACGUAGGGGGCUAGCGUUGUCCGGAAUCAUUGGGCGUAAAGCGCGUGUAGGCGGUCCGGUAAGUCCGCUGUGAAAGUCGGGGGCUCAACCCUCGGAAGCCCGGUGGAUACUGUCGAGCUAGAGUACGGAAGAGGCGAGUGGAAAUUCCUGGUGUAGCGGUGAAAUGCGCAGAUAUCAGGAGGAACACCAAUUGCGAAGGCAGCUCCGCUGGGACGUUAACUGACGCUGAGACGCGAAAGCGUGGGGAGCAAACAGGAUAAGAUACCCGUUCGGUAGUCAGACCAGUACCUACUGCUGACCGUAACAGUCUACCGACCUGCCCUACGUAAGAGGCGAAGGCAUCCGACGAAGCCCAAGCAGACCAGGGG